rnacentral:tRNA from 1 species
GGUUUGUGGCUCAGUGGUAGAGUGCUCGCCUAGCAUGUACCAGGCACUGGGUUCGAUCCUCAGCACCA